rnacentral:rRNA from 1 species
GGCUCAGGAUGAACGCUGGCGGCGUGCCUAACACAUGCAAGUCGAACGAAGCACAUACGACAGAACUCUUCGGAGGGAAGAUGUAUGUGACUGAGUGGCGGACGGGUGAGUAACGCGUGGGUAACCUGCCCUAUACAGGGGGACAACAGUUGGAAACGACUGCUAAUACCGCAUAAGCGCACAGUACCGCAUGGUACAGAGCGAAAAAACUCCGGUGGUAUAGGAUGGGCCCGCGUCUGAUUAGUUAGUUGGCGGUGUAACGGACCACCAAGACGACGAUCAGUAGCCGGCUUGAGAGAGUGAACGGCCACAUUGGGACUGAGACACGGCCCAAACUCCUACGGGAGGCAGCAGUGGGGAAUAUUGCACAAUGGGGGAAACCCUGAUGCAGCGACGCCGCGUGAGCGAAGAAGUAUUUCGGUAUGUAAAGCUCUAUCAGCAGGGAAGAAGAAAUGACGGUACCUGACUAAGAAGCACCGGCUAAAUACGUG